rnacentral:rRNA from 1 species
UGAACGCUGGCGGCGUGCUAUACAUGCAAGUCGAGCGAACGGACGAGAAGCUUGCUUCUCUGAUGUUAGCGGCGGACGGGUGAGUAACACGUGGAUAACCUACCUAUAAGACUGGGAUAACUUCGGGAAACCGGAGCUAAUACCGGAUAAUAUUUUAAACCGCAUGGUUCAAAAGUGAAAGACGGUCUUGCUGUCACUUAUAGAUGGAUCCGCGCUGCAUUAGCUAGUUGGUAAGGUAACGGCUUACCAAGGCAACGAUGCAUAGCCGACCUGAGAGGGUGAUCGGCCACACUGGAACUGAGACACGGUCCAGACUCCUACGGGAGGCAGCAGUAGGGAAUCUUCCGCAAUGGGCGAAAGCCUGACGGAGCAACGCCGCGUGAGUGAUGAAGGUCUUCGGAUCGUAAAACUCUGUUAUUAGGGAAGAACAUAUGUGUAAGUAACUGUGCACAUCUUGACGGUACCUAAUCAGAAAGCCACGGCUAACUACGUGCCAGCAGCCGCGGUAAUACGUAGGUGGCAAGCGUUAUCCGGAAUUAUUGGGCGUAAAGCGCGCGUAGGCGGUUUUUUAAGUCUGAUGUGAAAGCCCACGGCUCAACCGUGGAGGGUCAUUGGAAACUGGAAAACUUGAGUGCAGAAGAGGAAAGUGGAAUUCCAUGUGUAGCGGUGAAAUGCGCAGAGAUAUGGAGGAACACCAGUGGCGAAGGCGACCUUCUGGUCUGUAACUGACGCUGAUGUGCGAAAGCGUGGGGAUCAAACAGGAUUAGAUACCCUGGUAGUCCACGCCGUAAACGAUGAGUGCUAAGUGUUAGGGGGUUUCCGCCCCUUAGUGCUGCAGCUAACGCAUUAAGCACU